GCUGGUGUGGCUCAGUGGAUAGAGCAUCGGCCUGUGGACUGAAGGGUCCCGGGUUCGAGUCCCGGUCAAGGGCA
rnacentral:tRNA from 1 species